AUUUUCACUUUUCACUGAUCCAAAGGAGGUCACGUGGGAUUGCUUGAAAAUGGCGAAACGAAACUUGUGAAUCGUGCAUUUGCUCUUCUUGGUAGCUGCCAGAAAAUCGAAUCAAGCUUAUGGGACACUGGAUUACAGGUUGCUGCCACUACUCCAUGUGCCCGCAAUUGUCUUGCGUGUAUGAUUACACUAACGGCGUCGCCCACCACGGCGGAAGUGUUUUGCGUACACGCGUUUCAGCAUGAAGCCUGCAGGUGGACGUAAAUUGUAGAAGGCAGCUAGUGGGGGAGAAGAUCAUGGUCAUAGGUCAUGUGACUCCUGGAGCUCCCAGUGGGCUCCCUUGUGGAGUACUUUUCAGAACACACACACAUACAGUUUGCUCACAGAACCAACGAGUAGGAUGUUGCUUGAAUACUGAGAGAAAAUGGCGUAACACAUACAAAUAUCGUGUGACACAUAUGACAAUAAAAACAUUUUUCACGAGGGAUGCAUGAAACACUGUCGCAAUAUUGUGUGCAUGAACCAUUGUGUGUGACACAAGCCGUGGGGGCACACCGCCUCGGACACAUUUUGGGAAGCAUAAAACACAGUAUAUACAGAGCUAGUAUGGUGGAUGCUUCUUUUUUCUUUUUGGCCGUUAUGAGACAUCUUCGGCCGUAAUGAGACUACCUUCGGCCGUAUUGAGACUUUGGCCGUAACGAGACACUUGGGGAUUAAAGGAUUUUCGGCCGU